rnacentral:rRNA from 1 species
UACCAGCACCCCGAGUGGUCGGGGCGUUUAUUGGGCCUAAAGCAUCCGUAGCCGGUUCUACAAGUCUUCCGUUAAAUCCAUCUGCUUAACAGAUGGGCUGCGGAAGAUACUAUAGAGCUAGGAGGCGGGAGAGGCAAGCGGUACUCGAUGGGUAGGGGUAAAAUCCGUUGAUCCAUUGAAGACCACCAGUGGCGAAGGCGGCUUGCCUGAACGCGCUCGACGGUGAGGGAUGAAAGCUGGGGGAGCAAACCGG